GCCAGGCAUACUGGCACAUGCUUGUAGUCCUAGCUACUCAGGAGGCUGAGGUGGGAGGAUUGCUUGAGCCCAGGAGUUCAAGGCUGCAGUGAGCUAUGAUUGCAUCACUGGCCACUGCACUCUAGCCUGGGCAACAAAGUGAGACCCUUCCUCAA
ensembl:misc_RNA Metazoa_SRP Metazoan signal recognition particle RNA